rnacentral:rRNA from 1 species
AGUCGAGCGAGCAAUUUUAACGGAAUACCUUCGGGUAGGAAGAUAAAAGCGCGAGCGGCGGAUGGGUGAGUAACACGUGGGCAACCUGCCCUUUAGCUUGGGAUACCACUUGGAAACAGGUGCUAAUACCAAAUAAGAAGCAAGAGCGCAUGCUCAAGCUAUGAAAGGCGGCUUUCGAGCUGUCACUAAAGGAUGGGCCCGCGGUGCAUUAGCUAGUUGGUAAGGUAACGGCUUACCAAGGCAAUGAUGCAUAGCCGAGUUGAGAGACUGAUCGGCCACAUUGGGACUGAGACACGGCCCAAACUCCUACGGGAGGCAGCAGUAGGGAAUCUUCCACAAUGGACGCAAGUCUGAUGGAGCAACGCCGCGUGAGUGAAGAAGGUUUUCGGAUCGUAAAGCUCUGUUGUUGGUGAAGAAGGAUAAGGAUAGUAACUGAUUCUUAUUUGACGGUAAUCAACCAGAAAGUCACGGCUAACUACGUGCCAGCAGCCGCGGUAAUACGUAGGUGGCAAGCGUUGUCCGGAUUUAUUGGGCGUAAAGCGAACGCAGGCGGGAGAACAAGUCAGCUGUGAAAGCCCUCGGCUUAACCGGGGAAGUGCAGCUGAAACUGUUUUUCUUGAGUGCAGAAGAGGAGAGUGGAACUCCAUGUGUAGCGGUGGAAUGCGUAGAUAUAUGGAAGAACACCAGUGGCGAAGGCGGCUCUCUGGUCUGUAACUGACGCUGAGGUUCGAAAGCAUGGGUAGCGAACAGGAUUAGAUACCCUGGUAGUCCAUGCCGUAAACGAUGAGUGCUAAGUGUUGGGAGGUUUCCGCCCUCUCAGUGCUGCAGCUAACGCAUUAAGCACUCCGCCUGGGGAGUACGACCGCAAGGUUAAAACUCAAAGGAAUUGAC